UUGGAGGGCAAGUCUGGUGCCAGCAGCCGCGGUAAUUCCAGCUCCAAUAGCGUAUAUUAAAGUUGUUGCAGUUAAAAAGCUCGUAGUUGAAUUUCGGGAUCAGUUGAUCGGUCGUGCCUCGGUACGUACUGGUCAAAUUGAUUCCUACCUUCUGACGAACCACGAUGUCAUUAAUUUGGUGUCGCGGGAAAUCAGGACUGUUACUUUGAAAAAAUUAGAGUGUUUAAAGCAGGCUCGCGCUUGAAUACAUUAGCAUGGAAUAAUGAAAUAGGACGUUUGAUUCUAUUUGUUGGUUUCUAGGAUCGACGUAGUGAUUAAUAGGGAUAGUUGGGGGCAUCAGUAUUCAAUUGUCAGAGGUGAAAUUCUUGGAUUUAUUGAAGACUAACUACUGCGAAAGCAUUUGCCAAGGAUGUUUUCAUUAAUCAAGAACGAAAGUUAGGGGAUCGAAGACGAUCAGAUACCGUCGUAGUCUUAACCAUAAACUAUGCCGACUAGGGAUCGGAUGAUGUUAAUUUUUUAAUGACUCAUUCGGCGCCUUACGGGAAACCAAAGUGUUUGGGUUC
rnacentral:rRNA from 1 species